GGCCUACCAAGUACCAACCCCUCCAACAACUUUCUUGUAGCUAAUAUAUCUACUUUAAUUCUAGUUUCUUUUGUAUAUUAUAUUGCUGGCGAGAUUCCAUAAGUUGAUUACUUUAUGCCCUUGAAAGUAAAAAGAACUUGAACCAGGGGGGAAAAAUCAAAGAUUGGAGCAAGUGUACAAGGUUGCUCGAAACAUGAAAGAGAGAGCUAGUAUAUGACUAGGAUUCGAUGUAAGAACUUUUUCAGGCCUGAAUCUGGACAAGCAAUCGCUCAGAAAACCAAACUGGGCAAAUCCAGCUGAAAUUCCUAAGUUUCUGGCUGGUUUUAGCCCCAGCUUCUGUUCUAGGAUGUGGAUGAAAAUUGGUGAUAAAAUGAGGCUUAAGCAACUGUCAACUGAUUCAAAAUGUCUGCACGCUUUCAGCUUCGUUAGGUUAAGUUAUAGGUUUUCCGAUGAGCUGGUUAUGGCUUCCGAUUUCGACCACCCUCCCAUGUUGCUUGCAGAACUGCAAUACUGUCAGCGUCGCGAGCAGUUGAUAACCUGUGUGCGACCAGAACUGCUGCUCUGCCUUCCAUAAGCUUCUCUAAAACCCUCUUGGACAAACUUUUCAGAUUUUGUAUCCAAUGCACUUGUAACUUCAUCCAAGAGAAGAAUAGAAGGGUCUUUAAGUAUUGCUCUAGCAA